rnacentral:ncRNA from 1 species
GUGUCAUAUGAAAGGAGAGAAGGUUAGCACUCCCCUUGACAAGGAUGGAAGAGGCCCUCAGCCUGACAGCAGGCAUACGGUUAAGGCAUUGCCACCUACUUUGUGAUAUCUAACCAUCAUUUUAA